rnacentral:rRNA from 1 species
AGCUCCAAUAGCGUAUAUUAAAGUUGUUGUGGUUAAAAAGCUCGUAGUUGGAUCUCGGCGGACUGAGGGCGGUUUGCUUGCUAGUAUUACUGCCCUAUAGUCCGUAGUUUUGCCAGAGGUUUCGGGGUGCUCUUAAUCGAGUGUCCCGGGAUGCUGGCAGGUUUACUUUGAAAAAAUUAGAGUGCUCAAAGCAGGCUAUUACGCCUGAAUAUUCGUGCAUGGAAUAAUAGAAUAGGAAGUCGUUUCUAUUUUGUUGGUUUUCGGAAAUCGACUUAAUGAUUAAUAGGGACAGUCGGGGGCAUUUGUAUUCAAACGACAGAGGUGAAAUUCUUGGACCGUUUGAAGACAAACUACUGCGAAAGCAUUUGCCAAGAAUGUUUUCAUUA